rnacentral:misc_RNA from 1 species
GCCAUUUCUUCUCAUAGGUUCACUUUCAUUUUGGAUUGCUUUAAAUCUUAAAGGCAUUAAGAUGUUAGUAAAGUGCUGUUGAUGCCAAGAGCAAGAGCUAUUCGAUUUUCUUUUUAUNNNNNNNNNNNUGUUGCUAACUGUUUUGACUUUGUCACUCUUAGCCUUCCCCAACUUGAUCUUUGUGACCACCCAAAAUAAAAUAUCCAAACUGAAUUAAUUUUCCAGUUCUCUA